rnacentral:rRNA from 1 species
AACGAACGCUGGCGGCAUGCCUAACACAUGCAAGUCGAACGGGAUCCAGGCUUCGGCCUGGUGAGAGUGGCGGACGGGUGAGUAACGCGUGGGAACCUGCCCAAUGGUCUGGGAUAACCGCGGGAAACUGCGGCUAAUACCGGAUAAGCCCGAGAGGGGAAAGAUUUAUCGCCGAUGGAGGGGCCCGCGUCAGAUUAGGUAGUUGGUGGGGUAAUGGCCUACCCAGCCUACGAUCUGUAGCNGGUCUGAGAGGAUGAUCAGCCACACUGGGACUGAGAUACGGCCCAGACUCCUACGGGAGGCAGCAGUGGGGAAUAUUGGACAAUGGGGGCAACCCUGAUCCAGCAAUGCCGCGUGAGUGAUGAAGGCCUUAGGGUUGUAAAGCUCUUUUGCCAGGGACGAUGAUGACGGUACCUGGAGAAUAAGCCCCGGCUAACUUCGUGCCAGCCGCCGCAGUAAU